UCAGUGCUCUUAAUUGUUGAGCCAUCUCUCCAGCUGUUUAAUGGAUGCUAAUGAAGUAAUUUGUGAGUUUAUUUCUAAUCUGCUUUUUAGAUCCUAGUAUUUUCAGUAAAAAAAUCAUUUUCCUAGACAUGUGUGGUGGCGCAUGCCUAAUCCCAGCAUUUUUGCAUGUGAUGGCUGUACAUGGAUUUCUGUGAGAUGGGAGACCAGUCUAGUCUACAGAGAAUGCCAGGUACACAGGACACAGGUCUGUCUCACAAAACAAAACAAAACAAAACAAAACAAAACAAAACAAAACAAAAAUAAAAAACCUUUGCUUUUGUUUGUAAUUCUUUCUAAAAACCCAACUUUGCUAGUGUAGGCUAUUUUAUUCUAAGUUUUUUCACUUUACUCCCAUGGUUUAAUAAUGUUAUAUAGCUUUUUGGUAUGAAGUUUUCAUUCUUCAGAAAGUAUUUCACAUGUAAAUUCAAGUAUUAUUUUCUAUAUAGCUGUAUAUCUGAAUUUUAAUGAUACAACUUUCAUAAGUGUAAUUAAUGUAAGAAUGUCAUUAAUUUAUGGAAAGUUUUGAGCAAGUAAUGUGGAAAGAGAUCUUAAUCUAAAGAUCUGCUUUUAUCUCUGUGUUAGAUGUAUGCUGUUUCUUUUGCAUUCCUAUGAUAAGAAGUCUGGAACUUUAGAAGCUCAGAAUUGGUCAAUGCUGAGGAACAAAUCCUCUCACACUUUCUAUGAGCAGGCAGGCACGGUGGGUGAUACUGUGCUAAGUCCUCCUCUCAGUCCUCCUUUUCAAACAUUCCUGUGUCUUUUGAUACUUAGUUCUAAACCUUAGGACAGACUUCAGUAGUAAAACAUGCCUUGACUUUUAAGUAAAUGUUUAGUAACCUCUGACUAGUCUUUUUAGUCAAAUGUUACACUUUUUACACUGAAUAUCAGCAUUAUAAUUCAGUAGCAUUGUAACUCCAGCCUGCAUUUAGAGCAGUGGAUAAGUACAGUUUUAGAAGCUGUGUCGUCCCAUUGUCCCCAUUGUGCUUUAGACUUGGGCUGCUGUCACCAAUAGAACAAGCUUGAGCUCCUGUCACCACUCAGUACCAUCUGCUUAUGUGUGUGUAUAAGGAAUAGUAGGCCUUAGAUAAUGGCUACAAAGAGUCAUUGCUUUAUUGUCUUCUUAGCUGGCUCUGUUUAGGUUCAUGUAUGCUGGCCUGAGUUUUCACUCCUUAGACUUUUAAAAAGUGCCUAAGUUGGAAAAAGUUAUUUUAAAAACAAUCAAAUACUAAUAAGAGAGUUGUCUUUACAAGACGAACCAUCAUCCCUUCCCUUCCAUCCUGUGGUUAAUUUUCACAGUGUAUUAAAUCAGUUUUUUAGUCCUAUAAGCCACAGUGUUUUGUACAGCAAACCAUAAAAGGUGUCCGUUGUUAAGGGGAAGGAGCAGAUGAGCAGUGCCUAUGGGGUUUUCACGGCCAUAUGUGUGAAGUUUGUAUUAGUGCAGAGUACAACAGACAAAGAAGUAAGGAAGGUCUUAAAUUGUUACCUCCAAAUCAUGGGGCUAUGGACAGUUAUUUUAACACAGGGUCUCAUGGUGUAGCUCACAGUGGCCUGAAUUGGAGGUCCUUGUACCUCCAGGCUGCUGACAGUCCAGCCAUGCACUCCACCAUCCCUUGGCUCAUUACAUUCCUUUAACCUUUUAUUUUUGGAGCUUUACCCAUUAUACUGUUUAUAUAUUUUAUACUCAGAAAAUAAAAGCUCUAAUAUGAAUUUUAUUAGAGUAUGAAAUUAAUUUUAAAGAUGAACGUUCUUAAAUAAAAUUAGUUAAACACUACAUAAUUUAAUAAAUAUAGCAUUUGAAGUAGAAUUAUGAGAAUUUUUAUAUGAUUAGAAUUUGUGGUCAAACUAAACAGGAGCAAAAUUGACUUUCUAGUUUCUGAAUGUGGGGAAUGAGAGAUCCGGAAAAGGUCUUAAGUGUUUAUGAUAGCAUGCCCUGGUUUUAUCAUUGUAAUUGCCCAGGUACAUUGAUUUUCACCACUUUAUUGGUAAUUGUUAAUAACAGAACUUAAUUUUAUUCCUCUAAGUGGUAUGCUAAGUCUCAUUCUGUGUCAAUCAUAAUGUAUCUGUGACCAGCAGAAUAUUGGGCAAAAAAUUUGAUGUAAUACUGGUAGGUGUUUUUAACCUCCUUCAUUUUCAGUUUCUGCAAAAUGG
rnacentral:lncRNA from 1 species